rnacentral:lncRNA from 1 species
UCUUUUUAUGCAGAGUGUUAUAUACGAGACCUUACUUUUGGAAAACCCCUCGUAAGCGAGGAAGGAGCUUCAUUAAAAAUUCCUAAAACGCAGAGUUAUAUGUAUUUAGAAGAGAAUGAAGAUAGCAUGGCUAAUACUGAGUUCAAUACUCUUAUUGAUUUGGCAAGGAACAUUUGUCCGUCCGAUGUCAAGUGCCUCCAAUGGGGAGCCAUAUUCCUCGGAGGCAGACGUAAAAUAUCCUCUUCACCGGGCUCCCCCGACGGGACUCUCUUUGAAGCCACUCGAGACUUUAUCCAGGAAGCUAACUAAAAAACUGCCAAGUCUGUCCAGACGCGUGUCAUCCAAAUCGAAAGGACUCGGCGUUCCAAGUGCAGCCAAAUCACCCAAAGCAGAGUCACCCGAAGUUAAAUCACUCGGAUCAUUGUCACGAGAGGGAUCACUCAGAACGGAUUCAUUAAAACAAACGGGAAGCGUCAGAUGGCCGUCUCGGGAUAUAUACGCGAUAAGACGAAUGUCCAAAGUAUGGACAGCGGUGCAGGAAAAUCCUUGCAGAGACUACGGUAGGAAUCCAGACUGGCGUCGAGGUAAAAGGUAUAGAAAGGCUGUAUGUGUUAAGCGUCUAUACUAUCUGCAAAAGUCCGAAACUGAGUUUCCCAAAAAGCGAAAGAAUCCACCUGCCGAAAGGUGCUAUGACGCAGUCAAGGAGCUCGGAGCUUUACCCCAGGACCUGAAUAGCCUCUGUAGAGACUGUAUCGACGCACAAUGUUUUGCUUUGGAUUGGUGAGUCGUUAAUAUAAAUAUACUUACACUGAGGGAAACAAUAAGGAUAAAAUUAGCAACACCGUCGAUUGAAGCAUCCAGGGUCACAAAUCGCGAAGGCGUUUUUUGACAAAACUAAGAACUAAGAUAAUAAUACAUGUAAAACAAUUUUUUGCCUAUCUUCAAUUUAAAAAAUCAACAACUUAAGUACAUAUUUUUAUCAACCUAUUACGGAAAGCAGGAGAGAAGGGCUGUCAGCUGAAUGGGGCUUGU